rnacentral:tRNA from 1 species
GUUUUAGUAGUUUAAAAUAAAACAUCGGUCUUGUAAGUCGAAAAUAAGGGUUAUUCCUUUUAAAACA